rnacentral:rRNA from 1 species
UACGGGGGGAGCAAGCGUUGUUCGGAUUUACUGGGCGUAAAGGGCGCGUAGGCGGCGCAACAAGUCACUUGUGAAAUCUCCGGGCUUAACCCGGAGCGGCCAAGUGAUACUGUCGUGCUAGAGUGCGGAAGGGGCUACUGGAAUUCUCGGUGUAGCGGUGAAAUGCGUAGAUAUCGAGAGGAACACCGGCGGCGAAGGCGGGUAGCUGGGCCGACACUGACGCUGAUGCGCGAAAGCCAGGGGAGCGAACGGG